rnacentral:misc_RNA from 1 species
AAGACUAUAGACCUGCGGAGUACCUGCGGAGGGAUCAUUACUGUGGUAGGCGGCCCUUCGGGGCAUGUCCCGCCCGAGAUAGAACCCUUGCCUUUGAGUACCGUUCGUUUCCUCGGCAGGCUCGCCUGCCAAUGGGGACCCAAACCAAACCUCUUUGUAUUGCAGUAACCGUCUCAAAACAAUAAAUAUCAAAACUUUUAACAAUGGAUCUCU